rnacentral:misc_RNA from 1 species
GUAGUCUGAUUUGGCCCGGCGUGAAGGGUGCACUUCGUCGUGCCGACGUGCACAAGGUGGCCGUUAAAAACGUGUCGAUCGUUUGAUCAGUGAUUCGCGUCACCGACGGAAAAGCGAAAGUGGCGGGUGCAUGGUCGGCAAGGUUCCUCGUCACGACGACGGCCGAACCCUUUCGCCAGCUGGACGUCCGAGCAAAAUCCGGGCAAGUGAUAGUUCUGGUUAGAGAGGCCGGAACGUGACGGAUCGGACGCGGGAUUUGCCGCGGAACACCCCGCCCCCAUGGGCCGGGACACGCGAAACACCCCGAACGGGAAGCGACGACGAAUUUGGCCAGAAGGGAGCCAGGAAUCAGCGGAAACGAUCAAAUCGCACGAUCGGAGAAGGCGACGAAAUAAGGGACCACACCGCGCAGCAGGACAAGCCCGAGCAGAACACAUCCACAAAUCAGCCAUCAAAAGACCCUCCCUUGAAGGGACUUAUUGUGAAAAUUUCGAAUCCGCUCUUGGCUCAUCGAAGCUCGUCCUCCGCAAGGUUCUGGAGCUGGAUUCUGCACGUCAAGGCUGGUGGGGAUCGGCCAUUCAGAACAUCGGCGCGAGAGUCAUCACAAGCGCUCGGAGUUGUAUCGCGUGGCAUUCAGGGAACGAUUCGGACUGGAACCUCAAUCCGGCCCAACCUGCCAGAGCCAUCAAAGGCUGCCGGCUGCCGCGUGGCACGUACGGAGAUCGUGGGAACCUGGUCGCCGGCGGAGAAAGAAUAAGAGGACGUGGAAGCAGCCGCAGAGCGGCGCACGUGGAGGAUGCUGUAGCGGGCGAGCGUGAGUAGCGAAGGAGCGAGGGGUGAGAGGAAGAAAAGCUCAAAGAACAGCGCUUAGAAAAGCGCAAGGAAGAGCGCAACAAGAAGAAGAGGAGUUGUGGGUAGAAAUUUUGGGAUUUAAUAGAUGUUCUUGCUCAAGAUAACGCCAUUUUACUUCGCCAGAGAGAUCAGAGUUGGACCGAAAGAUUUCUUUAUUACAAUUGUUUGGAUAUAUAAAA